rnacentral:rRNA from 1 species
UACGUAGGUGGCAAGCGUUGUCCGGAUUUACUGGGCGUAAAGAGCGCGCAGGCGGUCGUUCAAGUCGCGUGUGAAAGCCCCCGGCUCAACUGGGGAGGGUCACGCGAUACUGAUCGACUCGAAGGCAGGAGAGGGUAGUGGAAUUCCCGGUGUAGUGGUGAAAUGCGUUGAUAUCAUCAGGAACACCGGAGGCGAAGGCGACUCACUGGACACGUAUUGACGCUGAGGUGCGAAAGCGUGGGGAGCAAACAGG